UACGAAGGGGGCUAGCGUUGCACGGAAUCACUGGGCGUAAAGCGCACGUAGGCGGGUCUUUAAGUCGGAGGUGAAAUCCUGGAGCUCAACUCCAGAACUGCCUUCGAUACUGAGGAUCUCGAGUCCGGGAGAGGUGAGUGGAACUGCGAGUGUAGAGGUGAAAUUCGUAGAUAUUCGCAAGAACACCAGUGGCGAAGGCGGCCCACUGGGCCGGUGCUGACGCUGAGGCGCGAAGGCGUGGGGAGCGAACGGG
rnacentral:rRNA from 1 species